AAAAACGUACAGUCGCUGUUGCCUGUCUGCCCAGAAACAAGAGAGAGUUAAGGAGCGACCAUCAGCCUCCCUCCUUCCUUCCAGGCAAGGUGCUUUUCUAGAACCCAGCUCCCCAAACUGGCGAGAGAGACGCAACGUGCCCAUUUGGGGCAGAGAGGAAAGCGCAGGAGGAGGCAGCGUUUUGCUUGGCGUGGGUUCGCUACCCUGCAGGAUGCUUGUGACUCGGGCAUUUCUGGAUUUUAUAAUUCAUUCCUCCCACCUUGUACUCCAGCUCUGGUGACCCCUGGGAGCGGGAAAGAAGGUAAAACUGAGGACUCUAAAAGAGGAAAUGCUUUGCCCAAGAGCAACCGCUAAUCCAGAAUGGAAUGGUGACUUGAUCCCAGGGUUCCUGGCCCUGCCCACCGCUUCACGCACUCCAAGGCACCCAGCCCUGCGACUGAGGUGCCCUCGGAUCCAGCCUGGAGACGCAACCACCAUGUUUAGAGGCAGCUCAAACCAGCCCACAGGCAGAGACCACAUGCAGAAGAACUGAGGCCCCCAGCUGACAGUCGGCAUCAACUGGCAGACAGAUGAAGACGCUCAGGCGCUCACUAGCCCCAGCUGGUCAGUGGCAGCACCAGCCCAGAAAGCCCAGAGUUGGUUCCUGUGUUCCAGGCCAGGGCAGACCAGCAGCACCCUCUCCCUACCAAUCUGAGCGUCUCCACAGCGUCUGGCAUUCAGGGAGGGCUCUCGGCAUUGGAUGAAUGAACUGCCAAGUCUCCCCCAGCCUAAGCAGUACGGGACAGGGACAGUGACUCGCGCUGGGGUAUGGGGGUUCCCCAUCCUUCAAGUGUUGCCUGUCUGUCUCAUCUUGUCGCUAUCCCCUUCCCUUUGUCCUGGGAAAUCAAAGCAGAUCCGCGUGCUUGUGAGGUUCCAGCCCUGGCUUGGGGCUCCGGCUCGGGUGGGAUGGGAGGGGAGAGACUGUUGCCCCAGGCUAUUUGUGUGCAAGCGUGAAGGGUUCGGGGGACAGGGGAGGGUCACGUCGAUGGUCAAUUAGAUGGGACUCCUGGGUGGCCUGACUGCAAAGUACAGGCGGGUCUCCAGCACGCGGACCCUCUCCACCCCGCAUGCACA